CUCCGGGAAACCGGGGCUAAUACCGAAUAAUCCAUUCCUCAGCAUGGGAAAGUUGUUAAAGACGGCAUUCUCGCUGUCACUACAGGAUGGGCCCGCGGCGCAUUAGCUAGUUGGUGAGGUAACGGCUCACCAAGGCGACGAUGCGUAGCCGACCUGAGAGGGUGAUCGGCCACACUGGGACUGAGACACGGCCCAGACUCCUACGGGAGGCAGCAGUAGGGAAUCUUCCACAAUGGACGAAAGUCUGAUGGAGCAAUGCCGCGUGAGUGAAGAAGGUUUUCGGAUCGUAAAACUCUGUUGUGAGGGAAGAACAAGUAUGAGAGUAACUGCUCGUACCUUGACGGUACCUCAUUAGAAAGCCACGGCUAACUACGU
rnacentral:rRNA from 1 species